GAGAGAGAGAAGGGAAUUCAGUCGGGAGCAGACGGAGGAACUGGAAACCAGUAAGAGAAGCCAAAGGAAAGAAGUCAGAAAAGCUGCAGAGAGAGAGACAGAGCAGAGCUGACUGACCAGGAGCUGAACUGCGAUUAAAGAAGAAUACUAAAAGAUUUAUCACAGCAGCAGUAGUGAUAUAAAGGGAUACCAAUGGAUUUAUGAAGUUUAUAUCUUCAAAUGCAGUUCCAGGAGGUGAACCCCACCCAAUCCAUCACAGAAGGUCCCAUUGUGUCAGUACCUUUCAUCACUCCACUGAAUAAACAUCUGAAAUCUGUCCCUGGAGGGCCUCGGGGUUUCACAACUGGUUCAUUCAUCUUAAUGUAACUACAAAGAAGAAAACAAGAAAGGAAGGGAGGAGGACGGAAAUGCAGCCAAGAGGGCAGCGGAUCAACAGUUUUGGUGGGGUCCCUGCAAAGCCCACCUCCCCCAGAGGGGAAGAAAUGGCAUUCCUUGGAAUGGGUGCUGGUUCCAGGAAAGAACAGUGCUGACCCAACAAGGGCAAAAAAGGGAGGCUCUUGGGGCACUAGUGUCCACUGAAAGAGGCUGACAGGAUCAACAAGGCCACAGAGCAACAUUCAUACCCUGGAAAAGUACUGCUCUUCAAGGGUCCCCACAGAGUACAGUGGUUCAAGUGUGGGAUAAGGUUGCCUAGAGGCCCCAAUUAGGAUCAGGUCCGAUUUGUUCUAGGCACUGCACAUACCUGCUAAGAGACAACCCCUGCUUCAAAGAACUUAUGAUCUGAAGAGAUGAGACAAACAAAGGGUGGGAGAAAGCAAGUGUAGUUAUUCCCGUUGUACAGAUGGGGAAAUUGAGGCAAAGAGAUGAAGUGACUUGCCGAAAGCCUGCAAGGUGGUGGUGGCAAAGCCAGAAAAUGAACCCAGGGUUCCUAAUUCCCAGCCUGGUGCCUUAUGCUUUAACGUUUAAUUUAGUGCUGUGAAACAAGACAGACUGGCAGCCCCAAAGACCGAAGUGUUCCACUGAGCCAAAGGACAGGGCUGGCUCAGACGAUGGCAGUGCCAAUUUCCCCCAUUGGGACCACUCUUCGUAGCCCAUUCAGUCAGUUGGUCUCUCUGUGCCACGGCCUGCAAAAGACCAAUUACUGUAAAUUAAUGUGGGCACCUCUCCAUCAAAAGCUAGACACAGUGCACGAGUUCAUGUCACAAGCAAUGCAUCAAUAGCCAGCAGAAUACAGGUGUCCAUCGACCAGUGAAUCACAGGUCAGAGUGUGCCUCCGGGGUACCACAGCAAAUACACCUUAAGUGUAGGUGGCAAGCAAAUGACAGAACCAGAGGCUCAAGUUGAUUGGUGGAGGAGGGUUCUGACAUGUGAGAUACAAAACAAUAGCCCACCCAAGUUAGAACUUACUGCUAAGGUGCUUAACCAGCAACAGUAAUAAUUCCUAGCAGAGGUGUGUCAUUGAUACACCAAGGAGGAAAAUACACUGUGAUAGGUGAAUCUAAAAGCCCAAAGCUGCCAAAACCUCAGGAUUCAGCAUCCAAAGAAGUGUUGGCAUUUCUCUGUAACAUGCAGGGUGCUGGGAAUUGUAUAACAAGACAGAUAUGUACAAUACACCACACUCCGUGGGGUUUAAUUUUUGUAAGGAAACACACCAACCUUGGCUAUACAGCUAAAAAUCCACUGAGCACAGCGACAAACCCAAAAUAUCACUUAUUUUUAGAAACAUUCAUCAUCUUGAUGCAUAGUCACAGUUGUAAGCAUGUCAUAUUCCCUUCUAGAUAAGCACAUAUACUCAUAAUCACACGGCCUUCUCCCACAUGCUUCCCUCCUCUUAAUUCACUUUCUCACUGUUGUCUCAUCUGCACAAAGGUCCAAUUGUACAAAAAUGUAUGCAUCUGCUUAACUUAAUGCACACGAGCAGUCCAUUGAAGCCAUUGGGACUACUUAUGAUCGUAUGAUUUUGCAGGAUGACCAGCUUAGAUUGUAAGGUCUUCGGGACAGAGACUCAGUCUUUAUCAAUAUUGUAAAGUGCCAAGCACAACUAUUAUUCUAUAUAGGUUAUAAAUGAUAAUGUUAAUUAUUAUUACUUCUUGUUGCAGAUUCUAGGUAGUAUAGUCCAAACAGCAUUGCCUAUGCUAAAAAGUACUAGGAUUAGAACUACCAUUACAUUAAUAGAUUUUAAAAUCAGAAGAUACAUUUUUAUCAAUGACUUGGAAGUAGGGCUGUCAAUUAAUCGCA